rnacentral:rRNA from 1 species
CAUCGCCUCUUGCAAAUUUAAACAUAAGAGGUCCCGCCUGCCCUGUGACUAUAAGUUUAACGGCCGCGGUAUUUUGACCGUGCGAAGGUAGCGUAAUCACUUGUCUUUUAAAUGAAGACCCGUAUGAAUGGCACGACGAGGGCUUAACUGUCUCCUUCUCUUCGUCAAUGAAAUUGAUCUCCCCGUGCAGAAGCGGGGAUAAAAACAUAAGACGAGAAGACCCUAUGGAGCUUUAGACAAAAGGCAGACUACGUUAAAACUCCUAAACCACCAGGAAAAAACACAGUAGCCCCUCGCCAACAUGUCUUCGGUUGGGGCGACCGCGGGGGAAAACCAAGCCCCCAUGUGGAAUGGAAAAACCUUUUCCACAGCCAUGAGUUACAACUCUAAGCAACAGAAUUUCUGACCAAAACGAUCCGGCAUACGCCGAUCAACGGACCAAGUUACCCUAGGGAUAACAGCGCAAUCCCCUCCCAGAGUCCCUAUCGACAAGGGGGUUUACGACCUCGAUGUUGGAUCAGGACAUCCUAAUGGUGCAACCGCUAUUAAGGGUUCGUUUGUUCAACGAUUAAAGUCCUACGUGA